rnacentral:snRNA from 1 species
AUCAACUCUUGGCUCUCUGAGCUAAAAUCAUGUGUGGUAUCUGUUCUUUGCGGUGUAAUUUUUGUAAUUUUUUUAAACUACUUAUAAAGAAAAUUUCUUACGUAAUAUCA